ACAGAGGGCAGCCAAGUCGUGAGGCGGAGCUAAUCCCUUAAAGCCAUUNUCAGUUCGGAUUGUAGGCUGAAACUCGCCUACAUGAAGCUGGAGUUACUAGUAAUCGCAGAUCAGAAUGCUGCGGUGAAUGCGUUCCCGGGUCUUGUACACACCGCCCGUCACACCACGGAAGUUGGGGGCGCCCGAAGCCACUUAGCUAACCCUUUUGGGAAGCGAGUGUCGAAGGUGAAAUCAAUAACUGGGGUGAAGUCGUAACAAGGUACC
rnacentral:rRNA from 1 species